rnacentral:misc_RNA from 1 species
GAUGAAGAACGCAGCGAAAUGCGAUAAGUAAUGCGAAUUGCAGAAUUCCAGUGAGUCAUCGAAUCUUUGAACGCACAUUGCGCCCAUUGGUAUUCCGAUGGGCAUGCCUGUUCGAGCGUCAUUUCAACCAUCAAGCCCCAGGCUUGUGUUGGAGCCCUGCGGCCGUCCGCAGCCUCCUAAAAUCAGUGGCGGGCUCGCUAUCACACCGAGUGCAGUAGUUUACUCUUCGCUCAGGACGUGUAGCGGGUUCCGGCCGUGAAACCCCCCAAUUUUCAAGGUUGACCUCGGAUCAGGUAGGAAUACCCGCUGAACUUAAGCAUAUCAAUAAGCGGAGGA